rnacentral:tRNA from 1 species
GGACAGUUAGCUCAGUCAGUUGAGCAUGCCACUAACAACGUCAAGGUCACGGGUUGGAUUCCUGUUCGGUCUC